rnacentral:rRNA from 1 species
GGGUUGGGCUGUUCGCCCAUUAAAGCGGCACGCGAGCUGGGUUUAGAACGUCGUGAGACAGUUCGGUCUCUAUCCGCCGCGCGCGUUAGAAACUUGAGGAAGGCUGUCCCUAGUACGAGAGGACCGGGACGGACGAACCUCUGGUGUGCCAGUUGUCCCGCCAGGGGCAUGGCUGGUUGGCUACGUUCGGAAGGGAUAACCGCUGAAAGCAUCUAAGCGGGAAGCCUGUUCCAAGAUGAGGUUUCUCACCCCCUCGAGGGGGUAAGGCCCCCGGCAGACCACCGGGUUGAUAGGCCGGAACUGGAAGCACAGCAAUGUGUGGAGGUGACCGGUACUAAUAGGCCGAGGACUUACCACG